ensembl:lncRNA
AUCGCAAGGACAGCUACGUUUCUGGUCCCGAUUUCCAACAUCUGGCGUAGCCACGACAACAAGCGAAGCAUUCGGCUGAGGGUCACCAGUUAACAUGGUCACCACUUGAGGGACUACCGCGACCCGGGCAACGUGGCAGAUCGCGCGCAGAGGUCUAAUUAGGGAAAACACUCUAGCCACCUUCUUGAAGGCACCAGACCAGACGAGGAUCACUGAGCAACUGGAGGAAAGUCAAGUACCGCUGCAACAAGGACACCACAUUAAAAGAUCGGGCAUGGCAAGAUGUGUCGUUGGAGGUGGGGGAAACAGCGGCUGAAUGUGUGAAGAGGUGGAGAUCCCUCAGGGACCGAUAUCGGAGGGAGAGGGUGAAGGAGAAGGAAGCCCAGAGGAGUGGGGCAGGGGCCGACAAGCAGCCUGUGUGGAGGUACAUGGCGGUGAUGGGCUUCCUAGCGCCAUUCCUGCAAAAUAGAGGGACCACCUCCAACCUCCCGCAUCGGAACCCAUCCCCGGUGUCGGUGAUGGUGGUGAUAGAGGAGCAUCGAGAGGCAGGUGCGCUGUCACUAGCAGCAGAUGAAGCAGCCCCAGCCCCAGCCCCAGCCCCAGCCCCGGCCCCGGCCCCGGCCCCAGCCACGGCUCCAGCAGCGGAUGGUGGACCUGUGGGUAGGAGCCAGUGGCGCGUGCAGCCCCCAGAAGAGGGCAGGGGUAGGAAGCGGCGGAGGCCUGAGAUGUCCCCCUUUGAGCAGGGCAUGCUGGCAUUCAUGGAGCCGCUGGCUACACUUGCCUCGCAGCCGCAACCACAGCCACAGCCGCAGCCGCAGCCCCCCUCUGAGGACGAGACUUUCUUUAUGUCCCUCCUCCCUGCCAUGAGAAGGCUCUCCAGUGCUAUUAGAGCCAUGGUGCGGUACGAGGUGUACCAAAUCGUUUCCAGGGCAGAUAUGGCGGCGCUACAGGGGGAGGUUAGGGAGAAUGACAGUGACUGAGUGACUGAGUGCGUGAGGUUAUGUUUGUUAUGGUGUUAAAUUAUGGUGUUUCUGUCGUUUUGUUGUUCUGUUGUUCUGUUGUUCUGUGUGUUCUUAAUUAAAAAAAAAUACUUUGAUUGUGAUGUGUUCCUUUUAUAAUACAUUAUAAUUUGGAAGUGGAAUUAUGUUAUAUUAAUAUUAGCACAUUAAUAAUUAUUCAGUACACUUGCAGAAAGACAAUAGGGAUUCUUGAAAGCUGGCUCGGGUCAUCUGUGAAAAACCAAACCAAAU